rnacentral:rRNA from 1 species
GAUUUCUGACUUGGCGCGCCUGGCCCGCCACGGUUACGUGUGUGAGUGCCGGGAUGCGCCUGUCACUUCUCUGGUAAACUAUUGUGCUCUUCAUUGAGUGUGAUAGGUAGCCAGAUAUUUUACUUUGAAAAAAUUAGAGUGUUUCAAGCAGGCUUUAUGCUAUGAAUACAUUAGCAUGGAAUAAUAAUUUAGGACUUCGGUUCUAUUUUGUUGGUUUCUAGGACUGAAGUAAUGAUUGAUAGGGAUAGUUGGGGGUGCUAGUAUUGGCCGGCCAGAGGUGAAAUUCUUGGAUUCGGUCAAGACUAACUUAUGCGAAAGCAUU